AACGCACAUUGCGCCCCUUGGUAUCCCGAGGGGCAUGCCUGUUCGAGCGUCAUUUAGGCCAUCAAGCUAUGCUUGGUCUUGGGCGCGGUCUGUAGGACCCGCCCGUAACUCUGUCAGCGGCAACCGACGUGCACUUAGGCGUAGCAAAACUAUUCGUCUCUAGGGUGUGUGGGGUGGCUGUCUUAAAAGAAAUCUCACACAAAGUUUGACCUCGGAUCAGGUAGGGAUACCCGCUGAACUUAA
rnacentral:misc_RNA from 1 species